rnacentral:lncRNA from 1 species
CAAACUUCUCCAGGUUAAUGUAUAAAUUGAAAUAUUUCUUUAUGAUUGUUCUUCGUUUUUGAAAAACUUUAAUGCUUAUUUAUAUUUUAUAAAAGUACUUUAUUUUAAAUAAGCAAAUUCUAAAUAAAAGUUUUUAAUUUUUUUUUUUGUAAGGUUUAUAUAGAUGUUUCAUUAUGCUUUCAAAUCUUAACUAUCAGUGAAAAGAUGAAUUUAUACAAACACUUAUCUGCAAAACAACUUUAAGAUUUAGAUGAUGUGAUGUUUGAAAGAAUUGUUGGCAGAAAAUUCUGUCAUGAAUGGUAUGAUACUGACUCAUCAAAGUCUAUCAUUUAUGAUGGUAGACUAGAAAAAGAAAGCAAAAGACAAAAUGAUAGAAUUUACAUUAUUUCUUACUGGAAACAAGAUAAAACUGAUAUGGAAGCUGUUGAGCAUAAGAUGAAAAAAAUCCAGCUAGCUGCUGAUGUUGUAUUAGAUGAGUUAAUAUUUUCUUAGUUGAAAUAUGAAAUAAUGUAAAAAUGCUUGAAAAAAAAGUUCUGCAAGUUUUGUGGCUUGCAAACAAGUACUUCAAGGUUUGUGGAUUGCAAAUAGGUACAGCAAGUUUUGUGGUUUGCAAACAAGUACAACAAAUUUUGUGGCUUGUCAUUAGGUAAAGCAAGUGUUGUGGCUUGCAAUUAGGUACAGCAAGUUUUGUGGCUUACAAACAAGUACCGCAAGUUUUGUGUCUUACAAAUAGGUACAGCAAGUUUUGUGGCUUGCAAACAAGAACAACAAGUUUUAUGGCUCGCUAUUAGGUAAAACAAGUUUUGUGGCUUGCAAUUAGGUACAGUAAGUUUUGUGGCUUGUAAAUAGGUACAGCAAGUUUUAUGGCUUGCAAAUGGGUCCAGCAAGUUUUGUGGCUGGCAAAUUUUUUUGAUAGCCACAAAACUUGCUGUACCCAGACACCAUGUAACGGUAAGCUCUGACUUACCGUUACAUGGUGUCUAUCAUUAAAAAUGAUUUAUUUAGUUAAUAAAUGGAAUUCAAAACAUAAAUCAUUUACUAAAAGCCACGACAAUAGUUAAUUACUUUUUUUAUUACAAAAGACUUGCUGCUUUUUGUUUUUUUUUAGGUUUGAGUUCAACAACAAACUUGCUUUACCUAAUGGCAAGCUACAAAACUUGUUGUACUUGUUUGCAAGCCACAAAAUUUGCUGUACCAAUUUGCAGUCUUGUAACAUGGUACGAGGUGGAAGGGGGGCGGCUUACACCCCUUUUAUGAAUGCAAUUUAUACACCACUGUAACGUGGUAUUGGGCGGAAGAUGGGCGGCUUACACCCCUUUCCAUGAAGGCAAUUUAUACACCACUAGUUACUGUUUUUCCAAGAUCAAUAAAGAAAGAAUUAGCAUUAGGCAAGUUAAGAAAGUUACUGUAAGUACAUUUUGAUGGCACGAUUUCAUUGAGUAGUUUUUCACAAAUAGGGUAAAUUACAAGAAUUGUAACAUAACCUGCAACACAAAACAGUACAAUCGUCUGGAGACUAUACAAAAACUAUGGACCACGGUGGAUUAAAUAUCUCUCAAUUGCUGUGUGCAAUAGGAAUUUUUUUGUUACAUUAUCUUUUAAAUUGAGAAAAAUAAAAUAUACAGAAACCCAUUGUGUAAUACU